GAUAGCUCAGCUGGUUAGAGCUUGGUGCUGGUAAUGCCAAGGUCGUGGGCUCGAUCCCUGCACGUUGCG